rnacentral:rRNA from 1 species
AGGGAAUCUUCCACAAUGGACGAAAGUCUGAUGGAGCAACGCCGCGUGAGUGAUGAAGGUUUUCGGAUCGUAAAACUCUGUUGUAAGGGAAGAACCAGUACGUCAGGCAAUGGACGUACCUUGACGGUACCUUAUUAGAAAGCCACGGCUAACUACGUGCCAGCAGCCGCGGUGAUACGUAGGGUGCGAGCGUUGUCCGGAAUUAUUGGGCGUAAAGAGCUUGUAGGCGGUCCGUCACGUCGGAAGUGAAAACUCAGGGCUUAACCCUGAGCCUGCUUUCGAUACGGGCAGACUUGAGGGAUGUAGGGGAGAACGGAAUUCCUGGUGGAGCGGUGGAAUGCGCAGAUAUCAGGAGGAACACCAGUGGCGAAGGCGGUUCUCUGGACAUUUCCUGACGCUGAGAAGCGAAAGCGUGGGGAGCAAACA